GAUGAAGAACGCAGCAAAAUGCGAUAAGUAAUGUGAAUUGCAGAAUUCAGUGAAUCAUCGAAUCUUUGAACGCACAUUGCGCCCGCCAGUAUUCUGGCUGGCAUGCCUGUUCGAGCGUCAUUUCAACCCUCAAGCCCUCGGGUUUGGUGUUGGGGAUCGGCGAGCCUUUCUGGCAAGCCGGCCCCGAAAUCUAGUGGCGGUCUCGCUGCAGCCUCCAUUGCGUAGUAGUAAAACCCUCGCAACUGGAACGCGGCGCGGCCAAGCCGUUAAACCCCCAACUUCUGAAUGUUGACCUCGGAUCAGGUAGGAAUACCCGCUGAACUUAAGCAUAUCAAUAAGCGGAGGA
rnacentral:misc_RNA from 1 species